rnacentral:lncRNA from 1 species
UUAGGAGCUCCUAAAUCAAAGGGAUGAGUAGCUAGUGAAGACCGAUUCUUCCAACUAAACUCAACGGCCACUCAUCCACUUCCCAACCCACGAACUCAUACUUGGAGAUCAAGAUUUGAAGGUAUAUAAAUACCAAGGAGGAGUUCAGUUCAGAUCACGAACUUUGAGAGAAGAUAUCUAGCUUUUGAGUGAUCUGUGUAGGAGUGCUGUUUCUCGUGUUGGGAUAACAUUAGCUAUAGCAUUCUGUGUUUUGUUGGAUUUCGGAGUAUAGCUCUUGAAUCCAGUUUUAGUUUGUUAGUGAGAGUGUAUAGUGUUCAAUACCUAGUCCUUUGUAAAGGUAUUGAACGUGAGUGUCAUUCUCCGUUUAGUAAUUUCGCCAUAAGCCAUUCUUCAAGUUAUUU